GCACUAAUCUUUAAGUUCCAUGUGAAAAAUGCAAUGUAAAUCUCGCUAAAGCCUAGCCAAAGGAAAAUCUCGAUACCACAUUCUUUUAGGUUUCCCAUCGAUAACUCAUCUGGUCAUUAGCAAGAAGCUGCUGUGUGUGUGUGUGGCGCGAGCGGGUGAGAGAGAGAGA